rnacentral:rRNA from 1 species
AUGGCGCAGGCGAUCGAGGCUCAGAGGGAAGGCGCGGAGGUGUAUCACGGCGCGGCGCUGUGCGCGGAGAAGGCGGUGGAGCUGCUGGCCGAGACCAACAUGCCGCUGGGCCUGCUGCCGCUGGCGGACAUCGAGGAGGUGGGCUACAACCGCGCCACCGGCUUCGUGUGGCUGCGCCAGAAGAAGGCGCUCACGCACACCUUCAAGCAGAUCGGGCGGCAGGUCUCGUACGGCACCGAGGUGACGGCCUUCGUCGAGGACCGCAAGAUGAAGCGCAUGACCGGGGUCAAGAGCAAGGAGCUCCUCAUCUGGAUCACCCUCUGCGACAUGUACAUCGACAAGGAUGACCCCUCCAAGAUCACCUUCAAGACGGCCACCGGGCUCGGCAGGACCUUCCCCGUCUCCGCCUUCGGGAAAGAGGACUGCAAGGAGGCCGCGGUGGGCAAGUAA